rnacentral:rRNA from 1 species
UACGAAGGGGGCUAGCGUUGUUCGGAAUCACUGGGCGUAAAGCGCACGUAGGCGGAUCUUUAAGUCAGGGGUGAAAUCCCGAGGCUCAACCUCGGAACUGCCUUUGAUACUGGGGAUCUCGAGUCCGGGAGAGGUGAGUGGAACUGCGAGUGUAGAGGUGAAAUUCGUAGAUAUUCGCAAGAACGCCAGUGGCGAAGGCGGCUCACUGGCCCGGAACUGACGCUGAGGUGCGAAAGCGUGGGGAGCGAACAGG